UUUUUUUUUUUUUUUUUUUUUAAUGGGGAAUCUGCCUCGCUGCGGCUGUGGGAGCUGCCGGGUUGGUAGCGCGGACUCCGGGUGCUGCUGGAUCCCGUCAGGAUCAGCUCUCGCUGCGGAGCACUGCAGUUCUACAGACGAGCCCGUAGCUGGCACUCGGCACUGUCUGUUCAGGCAGCUGAGGAGCAGGAGUCCAGCCCUCCCCCUUGCACAGCAGAAUGAAAGUUAGCAAAAAGUUAGAAAAUAGGAAAGAAGUCGUUCUUUGCCUUCAGUGGCUGAACCUUGAGGUUGAGGUGUUCGUGAUUCUCUGCAGCGAUGUGACCACAGACUUUUAAAAAGAGAAGUUGAGAAUUUCAGGUGAUUCAUCGAGACAGGACUUUAAAACCCCAUAUAAAAUGUUACAAAAAAAUCAGAUAAGUCAUCACACAUCGUGAGUUUCCACAUUCAGAAACUCAAAAAUUUUCCAAUUGUAAUUUGCACUUUUGACACAGACAAAGAAUUUUUUUCUCUCUCUGUAGACUUUACAGCCGAUUUGGCAAACAGGCUGACCCCUUCCUGCCCUGAAUCUUGUUGAAAAGUGUGAGUUCACUGUCACAACUCUGAACAGUUAUGCUUCUGAGGCAUGAGCCAAGGUAGAGCCCAGAUAGAUAUCCCUGGGCUCAGCAGGGCUGACAGGGAUAUCAGACACUCAGAAAAUAGUUUAAUCAACAAAGUCACCAGGUGCAAUGCUGUGAGACCCUGGGAAGCACAGCAGCAGCAGCAGCAGAAGAGCUCAUUUUCAGACAGCUGCUUCUCUAUAAUGAUUAAAUAGCCUGAGUCAGAAGGCACACAAAAGGAUCAUGAUUCCAGCUCCUGUCCCUGCACAGACACCCCAGCAAUCCCACCCUGGGCAUCCCUGAGAUCACUGUCCAAACACUCCUGGAGCUCUGGCAGCCUCGGGGCGGUGCCCAUUCCCUGGGGAGCCUGGGCAGUGCCAGCACCUCUGGGGGAAGAACCUUUCCUGGUAUCCAGCCUAAACCUCCCCUGGCACAGCUCCAGCCAUUCCCUCAGUCCCUGGUCACAGAGCAGAGAUCAGAGCUGGCCCUUGGGAUGAAGCUGCAGCCCCUGGUGAGCUCUGCCCUCAGUUUCCUUCAGGCUGAACAAACCGUGUGCCCUCAGCCACUCCUCACACAGCUCUAGUUGCCUCGAGAUGCUUCAGCAUGCUUGUGUCCCUCCUUUGCUCUCCAGUAACUUUAGAUCCUUCUGAUACUGUGGUGCCCAAAGCUGUGCCAGGGGUGGGUGGAUUCCUGCAAGCUGGGACUGGCCAGGAGAUGGAGCCCUGGACUCCUGGAGCCUCCAGCAUCACCUGCUGCUCCAGGUGGAGCACAGCCCGGGCAGUGAGAAUGACACCUCUCCUCAGGCACUGCAUACCGUCGGCAUUGAACUAUUAAAAACCACCAAAAAAGGGAUCAGGCUGCUGUAAUCCAGGAAGGUCACCUGAGGCAUGAAGCCUGCUGGAGCAGCACUACUGACACAGAUACCUUUUCCAUCAAGUCUCUGUGGUUUGGCAGUGCUAAAAAUGAUCCCCAAAACCCAAGGAUCCCUUUGUACAGGAGAUGAAUCAAGCCUGUACCCCUCCUGAGCCUCUGGAUUUGUGGAGGCAGUUUCCCCCAACAGACAGGAAAGCUUUAAUGCAGGCACUUUGCUGUUGAGCUGCACCUUGCUGUGAAGGACAGAUGACUAUCUGCAUGUUGGCUUAGAGUAAAGUUUUAGGUGAGGCAAGGGCUGCUGCCAUCACAAAAUCAGGAGGGGCAUCAAUCAGGGGAGCAAUCCACCUUCCAGCUGCAGUGAGCACUGGUUAAACCGUGGGUGAAACCAUGGCAGAGACGUUGGGGUGAGGUGAUAAUUGGCAGAUGGAGGGCAGAAACUUCCUGACAGAGAUAAAACCAAUCCUCUACUGACACUCAGGGCUCAAACGUGCAAACUCUGGACAUUACAGCUGCUCCUACUUCCCUCCCCUACUCCCCUCCACACCUCCGUGACGGGCUCCUGCUGCUUCACCUUCUGAGGGGUCUCACAACAGGGCAGCCGCUGGGUAAAUCAGUUCCUGCCUUCUCUUGUGGGUGGUUGGGUUUCCAGUGGAUCAUCUGACAAAGCCAGUUGAGGAAAAUGUCCCAGGUGUGUGUAUCACUUUUCACUGAGAGCAGCUUGUGCUGGAAUGGGUAAAUACAGCCAAGAGCUGUAUUCUGUUCAUGUAGCAACAGGCCCUGCAUGAGUACAGACCUGAUGUGGCACAGCUGGCACAGGAGACAUUUGUGCCAGAGCCUGAAUUUUGAGCUAACAGAGGAACUGUGUUUCUUCUUCAUGACAUUGCUUGCUGGGAAAAUGCUGGGUACCUCAACUUGGCACCCAUGCUAAGUAACAUUUCAACUCGUGCAAAAAUGUAGUUACAAAAGACAGGUUAAAAUAUUUGUGUGGUGUACAAGGGAUUGCUGCUGGUACACAGCUCUGGCACCAGUUAUUUUUGGGCCUGAAGUCAUGAGACUCUUGCACAGGUGAGAUGUAAGGGAAGUUACAACUUCAUCACUCAUUCAUGGUUCAGGCUGACAGGUGCCAGGUGAUAUUCUGCAAUUUGUAUUUCUAUUUUCCUGAGAGCCCAACUCUCAAAUACCUGUCAGCUAAUAAAAAUAACUGUCCAGACGCUGAGAUCUCCUGCUGGGUGCCUAAAGCUCUUGGAAAGCCGUGCCCAUAACCCAUCAUGGUAGGAUUCCCUGGGGUAAAAUUGGAGUCGACAUCACUUAGCAACAAGAAGAGAAAAAAAUUAAACCAGGAGAUAAACUUCAUCACUAAUACACCUCCUCCCACUUUCUAUAUUAUUGUUGUAUUAUAUUAUUCCAUGAGCCGUGCUCCUCCUGUGUGCUGCCCAUGGGGAUCAGUGCUCUUUGCUGAACUGACACAGGAAAAUCCUCCCUAUGUAGAUGGGCAUGUUAUGGCUUAAACCCAGCCAGCAACUCAGCCCCACACUGCCCACUCUCCCCUUCCCAGUGGGAUGAGGGGAGAGCACUGUAAAAGUGAGAGACCUCAUGGGUUGAGAUAAAGACAGUUUAACAGGGAAAGGAAAGGGCGUGCAAGGAAAACAGGACAAGGAAUUCAUUCCCUGCUUCUCUUGGGCCAGCAGGUAUUCAACCAUCACCAGGGCAGCAGGACGCUGCCACAGGUUCCUUGUGAUAGGAAAGGUGUGUGCUAAUGUCUUUACAAACAAUUCCAUGGGUGAGGGGAUGAGUGUUAACAUCUUUGAAAUGCAUCUUAAUGUCUCUACCAGCUUCAAGUGAUGCCUCAGGUUUUAGCUUUUGUGGUUUUCAGAUUCUGUACUGCUUUAGUGGGUACUUCUGAGCUUCAUAUUAGCACGUAGUAAGCUCUCUGCACAGAGCAGGGAGACAAAACAAUUCCUUCUCUAGCUGGGGACCAAGGACAAACGAUCCAAAUCUCAGGCUCAAGAGCAUAAACAACAUGGACUGAAGAGAGCAAAACAAGAAGGGUGGGGCUUCAUGGGCUGGAGCUGUAAUUGGACAAUUAACUCCAAGGUGCAAAUGGAGCAGGACUUAUAAAAGUUAGAGAUCCUGUGACAGGUUGUGCAUUUUGUGACCAUUUUGGCUUAUCUUGGGUGUAGCCAUGGCUGGUCUCUUGUGCUGCCCAAGGUGGAUCCAUUGAGGCCUUUUAAUAAAUCCCUACUUUAUUCUUUAGCUCUGUUCCAGGUCAGCCUUCCCAAGGCAUCACAAGCAGCAAGUUUGUUACAGAGUCCAGACAACUUUAACUCCUGAAACAGACAAGUGGGUCUGCACGAGCUUGAGUUUCUAAACUUUGGGGUAAAAUGACAGGGAGAGAUGUGGUAGGUGGUUCGGGAAGGCUGUACCUUCCUAGUGCCUCAGCAAUGGGGAAAGGAAGAGGGCAAAAUGCGGCUGGGAGUUGGGGAUAAAAGGAGGCUGUGCCCUCUGAAACCUCGGGAGAGGAAGCCCCAUGGGUGUGUGCCCUGGUGGACUCUCUGCCUUUCUUCAAAUAAAGUUCCAGGACUCCUCUGUCUCCUUUAUGGACCCUGGCUUUUCAUGGUGUGACUUUUCAUACAAGUCCAACCAUUAACCCACCACUAAACCACGUCCCCAGGUGCCACAUCUAUGUGUUUUUUGAAUACCUCCUGGGCUGGUGACUCUACCACUGCCCUGGGCAGCCUGUGCCAGUGCUGACUACCCUUACAGUGAUGAAUUUUUUUUCUAAUAUACAGCCUAAACCUUGCCUGGCAGAACCUGCUUCAGCUUUUACUGCUUCAGCUUCAGCUGCCUAGGUGAAAAACGCUGGCAGCAGGGACAUUUUCACUGGGAAGUAGUCUGUAUCCUCAUCCUUUUCCUGAAUGGUACAGAGGAUCAGCCCUGUUUGAAAUAAACCAGGGAGGACAAAGGAAGUCUCCUGGUGUGAAACCAUGGAACAGAUUGUCAGGAAAAUGAAUCCACAAACACCAGAGAUUUAUAUCCAAAACGGAGACAGAGGAGUUCUGUAACUUUAUUCAAAUAAAGGGAGAGGCCAUGGGGAAUUCCCCUAGAGUCUCUAAUUUUUGGAGGACACAGCCUCCUUCUUAUCCUAAUUUCCUGGUCGCAUGUCCCUCUCCUUUUCCCUGUUGGCUGAGGUGCUUGAGAGGUACAGACUUUCUGAAAUGCCCAGUACCUGAAACGCCUAAUACCUAAGACCACCUUCAACUGUAUAACUCCCCACUGUUGUUUUUAUCUUGUUGUCACUCAGUGGAAUUCCUUAUGGAAUUUAUGGUUCUUCCCAUUAUUUCUUUCAUCUCUCGGUAUCCAGUUUUAUUUAUCAGCAGACCUACAGUUUGUUUGUAAAGACAAAUCUCUCGUUCCAUUUAUCAAUCAGUGAAAUCCUUCCCAUUGUUUCUUUUAUCUCUCAGUAUCUACCUUUAU
ensembl:lncRNA